GAUUAUGGUGGGGCGUGCAGGGCAGCCGCAAGGCUGGCCGGUUUCGGUAGUCACCGGUUGUAGCAACCCUGUGCGUCUCACCACCCAU
rnacentral:antisense_RNA from 20 species